GAAGCACUUAGAUCUCAGGGAUCCUGUGCAGUAUAUCUGGGCCUGCAGACCCUUGAGAAUAGGCAUGUAGUUUUUCACUUUUGAUGCCCCAGAGCCUAGCAUGGUGCUUGGCAAAUAGUGCAAACUCAACAUUCUUUAAAGACCUGAACUCUGGCCUAUCAUAGAGUGAAAAGAAGCUUGAGGAAAUUUACCAACGUCUUGACCAGGUUUCCGUAGACAAUGCCUCUUUCCGUUCCUCUCUGUUAGAGAUCUCAGUGGUGGAAGCACCAUCAUCCCAAGGAGACUUAGGGUGCUUCCAAGACCAAGAUAACCAGGCAAUCAUAGUAGAUGCAUCAAUGCACCCUUGCCCAAGGGCCUAGACAAGAGGUAUUGUUUAGCUUCGCAUGAAUUUUAUCACCUUGCCUAGAACCAGCCACCAUCUGCCAGGGCUCCUGACUUUUUCUGAAAUGAAUAGACACUAAAGCCUGCUGGGGAAUUUCAUGGAAAUCAAGAUGACUCAACCCAGAGUCCAUUUCAAGGCUAGGAUGCUAGAGGACGCCAACAAAGGAGUAGGGAAGUGAAACGGAUCAGCUCACAUCCAAGCCCUUGCAUGAUCAAUCCUGCAGUAGGAGUGCUGCUCAGUUGGGACUCAUGAGAGCCCGGAAGAGGAAAAAGCAGCUCUAAGCAUAGCAAAGAAGCUGUUAUGGAAAAGACCCAAAUGUUAAAAUGGUGGACAUAGUAAAGUGAUUGGUUCUGCUUAGGGGAAUCUAGAUCCCCACAUUUUGACCUCCACUGGAGUCUCAGAAGAACAAGUGCCAGGGGGGCUUGCCACAGAGGCCAAGGCAGUGAAUGUCAGGCACAUCACAGUCCCCAAGAUGGGGAGAAGACUGAGAUGCAGGGUAACAACUGCAAUCCAUUCAUGGGAGCCAUGUUUAUCUUAAAUCAUUGACAGUGAGAUAAGGAUCAUGUCAGCCUUCAUACCUUUGAUGAUGAUCCCAGGCUGCAACAGUGACACAUAGAACUGGAUUCAGUAACUAACUACAGAUUCCAUCAACCAGGACUAGUAAAGUGAAAGGCAGAAAUUGGGAGGAGGGGUUUCUUUCUUGCUUAUAAAACUUUAUUUGGUUGUGUUGAGUAUGUGCAUGUAUGUAUGAAAUCCCAUAAAGCAGUCUUCUUAGGAACAAGCCAACAUGCCACAAUGUAGGAGAUCUUUGGAGCACUGGCCUAAAUGGCAGAGAGCUCAAGGGACUCUGCUUUGUACAAGGCAUGAUUUGUACCACCACCACUAUCCCUGUUUCAGAGCACUGUUGAAUUGUUCCAAACCUGGAUUUCUAUGUCAGCUCCCUGUCUAUAGUACUUGACUGAUAAAUGCUAGUUUCUGAAAUCUGCUUUGGUUCUAUAAUUUAUUAGACAGCUUUUUCUUCCCAUUUUAUUACUUGUUUUUACUGUCAUUGGUAUAUUAUCUCUUACAGUGAAAACAUUCAUAGGCUGAUUGAAGAGAAGAUCUGAAAUUAUUAGGCAGCAAGCAUACAAAACCCUUGCUUUAUAAAGAUAAUAUCUUAAAGGCCUAAUGUCUAUGGUUCAAAGCAGCCUGGAGAUGUUGGCUAAAUCUUCCAUCAUAGAGUCCUCAUGGGAUCUGGAAGCUCUGAUUUAUCUUCCUUCAGGCCCUAUAAGUUAGCUUUCCACAUCUGUAGGUUCCACAAUCAACCUUGGAUCAAAAACAUUUGAAA
rnacentral:lncRNA from 10 species